rnacentral:tRNA from 1 species
GCUGUCGUAGCUCAGCAGGCAGAGCGCCUCCAUGGUAAGGAGGAGGUCACCGGUUCGAUUCCGGUCGACAGCUCCA